rnacentral:lncRNA from 1 species
CGAAGAAAAGUCUAGUUGCUCUGCAAAUCUAGAGAGUUUCAGGAGAAACAAAGUUACCAGCUGAAGUAGUUGUCACUUACACAGAGGACAUCACGAAGUCUGUAUCAUCUGAGGCGUCCUUGCUGUCGUGAGAUUAGCUGCCAGUGGCUCCCAGGGCUGCUGGGGGCUGAAGAGAACCCCCUCCUGGCGACGCUUAGGUUCUCUUUCCCUGGCUCGCCCGCUCCCAUCUAGCAGUUUCCCUGGGAGCCCUCAGUAGGUGGUGUUGUAGGUGUGCAGAUGUGUGUGUACAUGUGCCCCGUGUGACGUCUGAAGACUAACCGCACGCUGUGUUUGCACGCUUCCUCCCCGGUGUCGGAGCAGGCAGCGUGUCGGGAGCGCAGAGGCUGGGACGCCGCCACGGUCAGGACUUACUCCUGCUGAAGCCCCGUGUUUACCCACACUACUUCUACAGAUGACCGUGCAGCGCUCGGGACCCGGCGAAGACGGCCUUUCAGAAUUCAGUGGAUCUACAAUCUGUUGAUACUUGUUAUAUGGACCCUAAGAUAUUUAUUACAGAGUUUUUAAUUAGUGAAAAUUCACGAAUACCAUAGAGAAAAUAUUUUAGAAUUUAAUGUUUCUUAUAUUUAUGUAAACAUAUGACUUCGUUUAUAUAGUUACUUACUUUUUCAUAUCCAGGCUAUAAAUAUCCUUUCAAAUCGAUUCUGUUCUUAUAUCUAAUUUUAGUCUUUCAAACAAAUGUACUGUAAUGCUUGUAUGUAUAAAUCCUAUGAAAAGAUAUAGGGCUUUUGUAAAUUAUGCAUUUAUUGUAAUUAUCAUUAAUUUUUUAAUAAUAAUCGGCGAGAGAGAAGAGGAUUUUACUGCAUUUGCAUUUGUAAGAUCAUCAUGACAUGGUGCGCGUUAUCCUGACAAAUGUAACCAGCUCUACAACAAUCAUUUUGAAACAAGCAGACUUAAUUUCAAGCAAUUGUGUUUUAAUGACUGACCUUACUCUACUUUUUCUAGCAAGAAAUGCUUUAUUCUGCAGCGUGAACAGACUGAAAGUACCUGGCGUUAAAUAUGAGCUUCUGAUAAAAUUUGGGCUGAAGGGGCCGUCAGAACUGUGAGCAUCUCUGGUGGCUCUCAGUAGCUUGCAGAGCUCGUCCCUGGGGACCCGCACGGCUUGUCCUCAGCGCCCGGCACGAGCCCCAGCCGGGAGCACUUCUCUCGGCCGCAGGAAGGGCUGGGGGGCUCUCUGGGCUCUACCCCUACGGGCGGACGCGGGCCCCCGCCCCGCUGCUCUUUGAGGACCAAGCAGGAAGCACCGCGCUCUGCAGGGACGCUGGUGCGGGAAGAGGAAGGCGGGGGCUCCCGGAAACCAGGAAACCACGCAGUGCGACUCUACUAAAGGCCUUAUUUUUUCUUAUGUAAAUCAUCCUUUUACAUUUGUUUGUAAACAUGCUGAAAGGAGGGACCUAGUGGUACAUUUUUAGCUUUUGACGAUAUAGCCGUUUUGGACUGUCUAAGUAGCAGAUGUAACUUUUCCUUUUUAAAUGGCACAUUAAAGAGCCAGCAGGAAAUGUGUUCCGACCACGGUGCGUUAUUUAUUAUACAGCUCAUUUUGUCGGUGGACGGCGUGUCUCUUUACAUUCGGUUUCUGCUUUUAACUUCCUUGUACGAUUUGUUGUUACACUCUGUUUUCUGUUAAUCUUUUGUGAACUUCCUGAUUAUGUAACAAAGUAUGUACAGUCUCCUUUUGAACUAUUUUUAUCACAGUAUUAUUUAUUGCUUUCUUUCAAUAAAGUACUGAGGCGUUUUCCACUGCCAAUAAAGGA